CAGUGCGAUCGGACAGAUGGGAGCUUGCUCCCUGAUGUUAGCGGCGGACGGGUGAGUAACACGUGGGUAACCUGCCUGUAAGACUGGGAUAACUCCGGGAAACCGGGGCUAAUACCGGAUGCUUGAUUGAACCGCAUGGUUCAAUCAUAAAAGGUGGCUUCUACCACCCCUUACCAAAUGACCCCCCGCCCCAUAACUUAUUUGUGAAGGAAUCGCUCCCCCAAGGCA
rnacentral:rRNA from 1 species